ACGACGACGCCAUUGGCCGAACGGAAAAAUGACGUGCGCUAAACGCGGAAACUGCCGAGUGGGUGGGUACCCUCUAUACCGAUGGCAACACACGGCACGGAUUAAAAAAUAUGAUAGUUUACGUACCGGGUUAUAAAUGUGCGGCCAGUGAACGAGAUGCGUUAACGGAAAUGAAAAAAAUAAAAACAAAAUAGUUAUCAUUAUAAAAAAAAAACCGAAUAAACGGCCGCGACCGGUACACGAGAUAAUAACAAUAAUAUUGUUUUGUUUGUUUUUUGUUUUUUUACCACGUAAUACGCGACGUUAUCACACGUGUUAAAUUCGAAAAUCGGUGUCAACGACAAUGGUGCGUUUGAUACGGCUGUUGUGGAAACAAUAUUGCGAAUAG